AUCACUAUAGUUUAAUAAAAACAUUGAGUUGUGGUUUCAAAAAUGCCUUUUGGCUAGUAAUC
rnacentral:tRNA from 1 species